CCCUAGCCCGGAUGGAAGCGGAUAUCCUUUUUUGCCAUGAGAUUUGUCCUUUCAGUCGAAAUAAAACCGCAAAAAAGAUUACUUCACUAAGCUAAUAUUUUACAUUGUGUUCAGUGAACUUCGUUUGCAGCGUACAGCCGGAAAAAGC
rnacentral:misc_RNA from 1 species